AUUGAACGCUGGCGGCAGGCUUAACACAUGCAAGUCGAGCGGAGUGAUGGUGCUUGCACUAUCGCUUAGCGGCGGACGGGUGAGUAAUGCUUAGGAAUCUGCCUAUUAGUGGGGGACAACAUCUCGAAAGGGAUGCUAAUACCGCAUACGUCCUACGGGAGAAAGCAGGGGAUCACUUGUGACCUUGCGCUAAUAAAUGAGCCUAAGUCGGAUUAGCUAGUUGGUGGGGUAAAGGCCUACCAAGGCGACGAUCUGUAGCGGGUCUGAGAGGAUGAUCCGCCACACCGGGACUGAGACACGGCCCAGACUCCUACGGGAGGCAGCAGUGGGGAAUAUUGGACAAUGGGGGGAACCCUGAUCCAGCCAUGCCGCGUGUGUGAAGAAGGCCUUAUGGUUGUAAAGCACUUUAAGCGAGGAGGAGGCUCUUUUGGUUAAUACCCAGAAUGAGUGGACGUUACUCGCAGAAUAAGCACCGGCUAACUCUGUGCCAGCCGCCGCGGUAAAAC
rnacentral:rRNA from 1 species